AUUGAACGCUGGCGGAAUGCUUUACACAUGCAAGUCGAACGGCAGCACGGACUUCGGUCUGGUGGCGAGUGGCGAACGGGUGAGUAAUACAUCGGAACGUGCCCAGUCGUGGGGGAUAACGUAGCGAAAGCUACGCUAAUACCGCAUACGAUCUAAGGAUGAAAGCGGGGGACCGUAAGGCCUCGCGCGAUUGGAGCGGCCGAUGGCAGAUUAGGUAGUUGGUGAGGUAAAGGCUCACCAAGCCGACGAUCUGUAGCUGGUCUGAGAGGACGAACAGCCACACUGGGACAGAGACACGGCCCAGACUCCUACGGGAGGCAGCAGUGGGGAAUUUUGGACAAUGGGCGCAAGCCUGAUCCAGCCAUUCCGCGUGCAGGAUGAAGGCCCUCGGGUUGUAAACUGCUUUUGUACGGAACGAAAAGGCUCUGGUUAAUACCUGGGGCUCAUGACGGUACCGUAAGAAUAAGCACCGGCUAACUACGUGCCAGCCGCCGCCGUAA
rnacentral:rRNA from 1 species